rnacentral:lncRNA from 1 species
CGGCAUGUACAUGUACACACGACCUUGCAUACCAGUCAGUACCAGAACAGAAACUGCCUGUGUAGCAGAUUUGAAUUCAGUCAGUUGGACCAAAGUGGACCAUGGAGCUAUGGUGGGAAGGAUCGAGGAAUGGGUUUGCUGGAAACAAAAAAUACAUGUAUUGUCAUGAUUGUACUUGUUUGUACAAGAAGAUUGAGAUGAAAUUGCUCAAACCAUGAAUGUUGGCAGUAAAGUGCAUGCCUAUGGAAACUUUCAAGAAUUAAUUGUUGUUCUUGCAAACACAUUUGAUGGAGAUUUAACUGUGUGCCUCCAUGGUGUAAUGUUGCCUACAUCUCCGGAUGAUCAUGAUUUGCACGGUGCUGUACUACUCUGCUAGAAUUACGGAAGACGUGAAGGGUCUGGGUGAAAACGAUGGUGACUGACUUCCUCAAAUGAUACAUCUAGAAUUCUACAUCUACCUGUCUCCAUGAUCCUUUGCGCUAUGCAUGGAUAUGAUCUACCAAAAACUACUGAGAUGAGCUGCAGUAUGUGCAUGUACAAGACAAAGACUGUCUGACUGCUGUGCCCCGGCUCUGCAAAUUGGAGGCAGCGGCAUGCAUCCUUAACAAGCAGUUGGAAUCAUCAUCCUAAUCUACAAGAUGUCAGUUCCGGAAACUACAAUGGACAUUACUUUUAAAAAGAUUAUCAAAAAGUUUGUUCCAUACAUACACACAUGAACAUGCAAAUGAUAUACAGGUAUGUCACAGCUUGAUAGAAUGACUCUUGGAAAUUACGAUCAGUACUUUCCUUCAAACUUCCAAUUCUAGUUGUCAAACGUGUCUGAAUACCAUUGCUUUUCAACAAAGCUCUAUGCAUGGUUUUACAAACUGAAUAUAGGCAUGGAUUGUUGCAACCAUCACAAGUCUUUCAUGCAUGUGUCUUUCUUGCCAAAUUUAUAGUAUCCCUCUCAGGAAAACAAUUCAUAUAAAAAUGUGUUGAUUUUUUUUGUUUUUUGCCCAACUUCUGCUAUUUUUUUCACCACAUUAACCGUGUACACUGUACAGACUGUGUUCAUUAUUGGUGCCUUUGAUUUUAAUACACUGCACUGGAAAGAUGUCUGCUCAUCCCCUACAUGCACAAAUUUGUAAAUUCAGAAGAAUUUGUUUUUUUUAAAAGAACAGAAUAUGUCUGUCCAACUGUAAUUGUGUCAUGGUUGUUUUCCUGAUUUUAUUUAGUAUAAAGAGUAACGCCAUGGUAAUGUCACAUUUUGAAGUUAACAGAAAUCUAUAUUAAUUUUCAACCAAAUUUUUCUCAAUGAAAAUGUGUAAAAAUGUCUGCAAGAAUUGUAUUAAAUGUUCUAUAGAAAAACCUA